rnacentral:rRNA from 1 species
AAUAGAUACCCUGGUAGUCCACGCCGUAAACGAUGAGUGCUAAGUGUUGGGGGGUUUCCGCCCCUCAGUGCUGCAGCUAACGCAUUAAGCACUCCGCCUGGGGAGUACGGUCGCAAGACUGAAACUCAAAGGAAUUGACGGGGGCCCGCACAAGCGGUGGAGCAUGUGGUUUAAUUCGAAGCAACGCGAAGAACCUUACCAGGUCUUGACAUCCCGGUGACCACUAUGGAGACAUAGUUUCCCCUUCGGGGGCAACGGUGACAGGUGGUGCAUGGUUGUCGUCAGCUCGUGUCGUGAGAUGUUGGGUUAAGUCCCGCAACGAGCGCAACCCUUAUUCUUAGUUGCCAUCAUUCAGUUGGGCACUCUAAGGAGACUGCCGGUGAUAAACCGGAGGAAGGUGGGGAUGACGUCAAAUCAUCAUGCCCCUUAUGACCUGGGCUACACACGUGCUACAAUGGACGGUACAAACGGUUGCCAACCCGCGAGGGGGGAGCUAAUCCGAUAAAACCGUUCUCAGUUCGGAUUGUAGGCUGCAACUCGCCUAC